GGCAGUGGUGGCUCAGUGUUUAAGGCGCUGGGCUACUAAACAGAAGGUCGGGGUUUCAAGCCCCAGCACUGCCA